GGAUCAAUAGCUCAGUCGGUAGAGCAGCGGACUUUUAAUCCGUUGGUCGUGGGUUCGAGCCCCACCUGAUCCACCA
rnacentral:tRNA from 1 species